GCUAUAAUGCAGUCGAGCGAGUCCCUUCGGGGGCGAUCGGCGGACGGGUGAGUAACCGGUAGGCAACCUGCCCGUAAACUCGGGAUAACAUGGGGAAACUCUUGCUAAUACCGGAUAGGGUCUUCUCUCGCAUGUUUGGACACGGAAAGGUGGCGCAAGCUACCACUUACGGAUGGGCCUGCGGCGGAUUACCUAGUUGGUGGGGUAACGGCCUACCAAGGCGACCAUGCGUACCCCACCUGAUAGGGUGACCGGCCACACUGGGACUGACACUGGGCCCGAACUCCUACGGGAGGCCCUACUAGGGAAUUUUCCACAAUGGACGAAAGUCUGAUGGAGCAACGCCGCGUGAACGAUGAAGGUCUUCGGAUUGUAAAGUUCUGUUGUCAGAGAUGUUGAGUACCGUUCGAACAGGGCGGUACCUUGACGGUACCUGACGAGAAAGCCACGGCUAACUACGUGCCAACAGCCGCGGUAAUACGUACGUGGCAAGCGUUGUCCGGAAUUAUUGGGCGUAAAGCGGGCGCAGGCGGCUAUGUAAGUCUGGUGUUAAAGCCCGGGGCUCAACCCCGGUUCGCAUCGGAAACUGUGUAUGUUGACUGCAGAAGAGGAAAGCGGUAUUCCACGUGUAGCGGUGAAAUGCGUAGGAGAUGUGGAGGACCACCAGUGGCGAGGGCGGCUUUCUGGUCUGUAACUGACGCUGAGGCGCGAAAGCGUGGGGAGCAACCAGGAUUAGAUACCUUGGUAGUCCACGCCGUAAACGAUGAGUGUUAGGUGUUGGGGGUUUCAAUACCCUCAGUGCGGCAGUUAACCCAUUAAGCACUCCGCCUGGGGAGUACGCUCGCAAGAGUGAAAUUCAAAGGAAUUGACGGGGGCCCGCCCAAGCGGUGGACCAUGUGGUUUAAUUGGAAGCAACGGGAAGACCCUUACCAGUUCUUGACAUCUCGCUGACCGUCCUAGAGAUAGGGUUUCCUUUCGGGGCAGCGGUGCCAGGUGGUGCAUGGUUGUCGUCAGUUCGUGUCGUGAGAUGUUGGGUUAAGUCCCGCAACGAGCGCAACCCUUAUCUUUAGUUGCCACCAUUCAGUUGGCCAUUUUAGAGAGACUGCCGUGGCCAAGCCGGAGGAAGGCGGGGAGGACGUCAAAUCAUCAUGCCCCUUAUGACCUGGGUUCCCCACGUGUUCCAAUGGCUGGUCCAACGGGAAGGUAGCUCGGGAGAUUAUGCCAAUCUCUUAAAACCAGUUUCAGUUCGGAUUGCAGGCUGCAACUCGCCUGCAUGAAGUCGGAAUCGCUAGUAAUCGCGGAUCAGCAUGCCGCGGUGAAUACGUUCCCGGGCCUUGUACACACCGCCCGUCACACCACGGGAGUUUGCAACACCCGAAGUCGGUGAGGUAACCGCAAGGAGCCAGCCGCCGAA
rnacentral:rRNA from 1 species